rnacentral:rRNA from 1 species
GAUCCUGGCUCAGGAUGAACGCUAGCUACAGGCUUAACACAUGCAAGUCGAGGGGAAACGAUAUUGGAAGCUUGCUUCCGAUAGGCGUCGACCGGCGCACGGGUGAGUAACGCGUAUCCAACCUGCCCACCACUUGGGGAUAACCUUGCGAAAGUAAGACUAAUACCCAAUGACAUCCCACGAAGACAUCUGAAUGGGAUUAAAGAUUUAUCGGUGAUGGAUGGGGAUGCGUCUGAUUAG